UACGGGAGGCAGCAGUGGGGAAUAUUGCACAAUGGGCGGAAGCCGGAUGCAGCAACGCCGGGUGCGGGAUGGCGGCCUUCGGGUUGUAAACCGCUUUCGCCUGUGACGAAGCGUGAGUGACGGUAAUGGGUAAAGAAGCACCGGCUAACUACGUGCCAGCAGCCGCGGUGAUACGUAGGGUGCGAGCGUUGUCCGGAUUUAUUGGGCGUAAAGGGCUCGUAGGUGGUUGAUCGCGUCGGAAGUGUAAUCUUGGGGCUUAACCCUGAGCGUGCUUUCGAUACGGGUUGACUUGAGGAAGGUAGGGGAGAAUGGAAUUCCUGGUGGAGCGGUGGAAUGCGCAGAUAUCAGGAGGAACACCAGUGGCGAAGGCGGUUCUCUGGGCCUUUCCUGACGCUGAGGAGCGAAAGCGUGGGGAGCGAACAGGCUUAGAUACCCUGGUAGUCCACGCUGUAAACGGUGGGUACUAGGUGUGGGGUCCAUUCCACGGGUUCCGUGCCGUAGCUAACGCUUUAAGUACCCCGCCUGGGGAGUACGGCCGCAAGGCUAAAACUCAAAGGAAUUGACGGGGCCCCGCACAAGCGGCGGAGCAUGCGGAUUAAUUCGAUGCAACGCGUAGAACCUUACCUGGGUUUGACAUGGAUCGGGAGUGCUCAGAGAUGGGUGUGCCUCUUUUGGGGUCGGUUCACAGGUGGUGCAUGGCUGUCGUCAGCUCGUGUCGUGAGAUGUUGGGUUAAGUCCCGCAACGAGCGCAACCCUUGUUCACUGUUGCCAGCACGUUAUGGUGGGGACUCAGUGGAGACCGCCGGGGUCAACUCGGAGGAAGGUGGGGAUGACGUCAAGUCAUCAUGCCCCUUAUGUCCAGGGCUUCACGCAUGCUACAAUGGCUGGUACAGAGAGUGGCGAGCCUGUGAGGGUGAGCGAAUCUCGGAAAGCCGGUCUCAGUUCGGAUUGGGGUCUGCAACUCGACCUCAUGAAGUCGGAGUCGCUAGUAAUCGCAGAUCAGCAACGCUGCGGUGAAUACGUUCCCGGGCCUUGUACACACCGC
rnacentral:rRNA from 1 species